rnacentral:rRNA from 1 species
GUGGGGAAUUUUGGACAAUGGGCGCAAGCCUGAUCCAGCAAUGCCGCGUGCAGGAAGAAGGCCUUCGGGUUGUAAACUGCUUUUGUACGGAACGAAACGGUCCGGGUUAAUACCCUGGGCUAAUGACGGUACCGUAAGAAUAAGCACCGGCUAACUACGUGCCAGCAGCCGCGGUAAUACGUAGGGUGCAAGCGUUAAUCGGAAUUACUGGGCGUAAAGCGUGCGCAGGCGGGUUUGUAAGACAGGCGUGAAAUCCCCGGGUUCAACCUGGGAAUUGCGCUUGUGACUGCAAGGCUGGAUUGCGGCAGAGGGGGAUGGAAUUCCGCGUGUAGCAGUGAAAUGCGUAGAUAUGCGGAGGAACACCGAUGGCGAAGGCAAUCCCCUGGGCCUGCACUGACGCUCAUGCACGAAAGCGUGGGGAGCAAACAGGAUUAGAAACCCGGGUAGUCC